UCAUAUCAACAUAGUAAUAAAUAUACAGCAAUAAAUAUAUUAAAACGAAAUAUGAAAAGAAACCAAAAUGGCAAUAGUUAUAACCGCAAGAAAACAAAAUUGAGAAACACACACUCUCUCUCUCUCUCUAAUAUUCCAAACGAACUACUCUCUCUCAUGAAUCUCUCCCUCUGUUCUUCUUUCCAAAACCUUCUUUCACUCUGUUUUUUCGAUUUUGAGCCAUACAUAUGAAAACAAACACCAACCGACAUGAAAAAUAUAUCAAACAGUGCUUUUCCCAUUUCUUUAUAGGAAAAAAAAAAGAACUGAUGAACACCGAUUGGUGUUCUUCAACAGAGACCCGUAUUUCUGUCAAACCAAUCCAAACCAACAACCUAUUGAUGCAAACAAUCAUCGCAGAUCUGAAACAAAAAUUGAUUUUUUACCGACAUUCAAAAUUGCUAACAGAUCUGAACAAAUUGAAAAUCCUAGCAUAAAAUCUAAUAUGAUUUAGCAAAAGAAUAUUCAUUAACAUCAAAUUAAUCAUGCCAAUCAACAGAAAUAUGGAGCCUUAGCGUUUGAAAAAAUCUAAAAUAGAAGGGUAAAAGGGGCUCGCCAAAUUUACACUUCUGGCGAGACUUCAGCGGCCAUGCUUACCUCAAUGAUGGAGUGAACUCUUAUUUAUAGAGCAAUGAGGGAAGAGAACUCAACUGGAAAUUUUGGAUAAGAAUGCAAUCAAUUUGUUAGAAAGAUCCUUGAUUUUGUGCAAGUGAGUGGGAUUGAGGAGGAUGUCAAGAAAAUCGUUGAGGAGAUGUUGUAGAUAUUCUAUGAUUUUUGUCCUUUUUCUGAAUUGUAAUUUCUUCUUUACUGAUGUGAAUUUCAACUGAUGUAAAUGACCUAAGCAUAAUCUUACUUAUGUAAUUUGUUGUUA